GUUUGGGGUCAUUAUUUUGGAUGAUCUGAACUAAAUCGAUUGCUAGUGGGACUGCAUAUCUAAUGUUGUCAGUUCUUAACUUCUAAAUGUCAGUUGAUGAAUUUAAAUGCUGUUUUGCUUUCCUUUUCUUUUCUUUUUUUUUUCUUCCUGUUCUCCUUUCUAUUCAUCUUCCUCAUAUAGUUUCAGGUUACAAGUCAUUGUGAUUGAUUUUAUCGUUUUGGUGGGUUCUGUCCAGGUGAUUUCAAUAAUGAGGAUGAUGAUUGCUGGACUCCAGAAGAAUUUGAGGGUCAUGUGGUGAAAGAGCGUGAAGGAAAAAGGUCACUUUUGACUUUGGAUUUGCAAGUGACACUGAAGGAUAUGGUGGAGGCACUCGUAUACGUGAAGCAAAAACAGAAAGCCUUCACUGUGAAGCAAUAUGGAUGUCUUGUUGGAAUGAUUGUAAAUUUGUAACUUUUUGCAAGACUUGCAAUAGUGUAUGCAUAACUGCAUGUUUAUCCGCUCAUCAAAAUCUCAAAAUUUACUAGAUUUGCUUCUACCAGAUAAGUCCUAUGCUUCAAACGCCAUAGCCUUUGAUGGUCAUCCUCCCUAAAACUACAAGAAAAAUAAAAUUGAUGAACCAAAAAGAUAGAGUGCACAACUGAUGCACCAAAAAGAUGAAAAAAAAAAAGUGCAAAUAAAAUGAUUCUUGUAGUUUCUUUAA